UGGGUUAGAUGGAUUAGGUCCAUAAUUGGGUUAGACCUAAGGUUAGCUUAAAGAAAUGGACUAAAUUAGAGUAGUUGGUCAAAUCUAAUCAAAAGUUGAAUUAGAUUAGGUCAAGGAUACUCUAGACUCAACUCCAAUAGUUGUAGUUGAAUGGAUCCAUGUCUUUAACUAGACCAAGAUGGACUUAAUUCAUGGCUACGCGGUGGAACCCUAUUUAAUAAGUUGAUUAAAUUAAAACUAAUGAACCAAUUGGUGUCUAAGGUAAGUUUGGCAUUUUGACCAGUGAUUUUUAAGCGGGAGCUACUCGCAGUGAUUCGAUCUCUGACGAGUUAAUGGCUUAUCCCCACCA
rnacentral:lncRNA from 1 species